ACUGUGGAGUGUUAUACAAACACAAGUAGAGUGAUAUUUCUCAAAAGUGGAUACAGUAAAGCAGUAA
rnacentral:sRNA from 12 species